UACGGAGGGGGCUAGCGUUGUUCGGAAUUACUGGGCGUAAAGCGCGCGUAGGCGGCUUUGUAAGUUAGAGGUGAAAGCCCAGGGCUCAACCCUGGAAUUGCCUUUAAGACUGCAUCGCUUGAACAUCGGAGAGGUAAGUGGAAUUCCGAGUGUAGAGGUGAAAUUCGUAGAUAUUCGGAAGGAACACCAGUGGCGAAAGCGGCUCACUGGCGUCGGUUCGUGACCGCCUGGAGGCGCGAAAGCGUGGAGGCAACAGGAUUGAGAAACCCAUAGGUAGUC
rnacentral:rRNA from 1 species